rnacentral:rRNA from 1 species
GACCUGCCGAAACCAGGCAGCUGCCACGGCAGCGACGACGACGACGACUGCCCCUCUCCUCCAUCCUCCGAUGGCAACCGGCACCUGGUCACCCCGCUCGUGGUCACCGCGUUCGUCCUCGUCUUCCUGUCUCUCGUGUCCCUGUCCAUCUACUGCUUCAUCCGUCGCAGGAGGCGCCAGCGCCGGCAGCAGUCCCUUCUCGCCGCCGGGGCUGCCAACCCCGCCGCCCAAGGCGACGGCCCCGCCCCCGAGAUGGCUGGCGCCGCGACCGCGACCGACGUCGAAGGGGGCGCAGCUCCGGAUCCAGAGGAUGAGGAGGUCGUGCACCACGCGUGGCACAUCCGCACCGUGGGGCUCGACGAGGCGGCGAUCGAGUCCAUCGCGCUCACGCGGUACCGCGUCGGCGCGGGGACGCUGGGCGGCGCCGCCGACUGCUCCGUCUGCCUCGGCGAGUUCCUGGACGGCGAGCUCCUCCGGCUGCUCCCCAAGUGCGGCCACGCGUUCCACGUCCCCUGCAUCGGCACCUGGCUCCGCGCCCACGUCAACUGCCCGCUCUGCCGCGCCGACGUCGUCGUCUUGGACUCGGCGGCCACCGGCGGUUCGGAGCCACCUGCCGACGCUCAGCAAGUUUCUGAAACCUUGAGCCAGGAGCAGCCGGUCCCGGCUCAAGGGCAGAACGAGCAGCAAGAGCUGCGCGUACAGAUCGAUCGGCGCUGCCGGUCGAGGUCGCCGGAGCCACAGCGCAGGAGGACGGAGAAUUUUCGCCGCGUAGCUUCCAUGGACUCGUCGGUGGUGUCCGUCGGGGCCGGGCUGGUUCUGGAAGACAAGCGGAGCAGUACAGAAGACCAGGGGGACGGCGAGGUGCCAUCGGGCUCUGGACGUUUGCGGUAUUUGUCCGGCGGUGGUCGGCGGUCUCGCCUCUCGGGACAUCGCCGCAUCAGCAGCUCCAUGCUUCCGUCUUGA